CAUGACUGGACCUAAUGGUCAGGGGUCUCUUUACCUUUACUAAACAAAGAUAUAAUAGGAAAUGCUUUACUGUUCUCACAGUAUUGUUGCACACCACCCCAAUCUCCAAGUGCUGUUAAGAUUCCAGAGGUUCCAGGCACUUACCCAGGGUUCGUGUUUUCUUUUGGAAAAGAGGCAGAGUGGAGACUGUGGUGUCUUUAUGAUAUAUGGAGGCUACGAUGGAGGAGCUCACAGUACCAUCACCCCAAGAAGGUCUUGUUUCUCCCAAACAUACAUCAAACUUUGCUCUUUAACUUUGUUCUCCUCCUAUCUCUCCAGCUUGCUGCUUUCCUUCCUAGGUCACAUAACUGCUCUUCUCUGGCUUUAUCUGUUGAGUGGCCCCCACCCAUUUGCUGUCUCACACCGAGCCCCUUAAUGGCCCCUCACCCAGGUUAUCACCCUCAGCAGGCAGCUACCUUGGCCGUUCCGAAAAUUAAAAACCUUGAUUAAAUUCUAACACUUGCUUGAUCCAAGGAAUAGGAGAGCCCGGCACACAUCUUAACAGCCCAAGCUUACAACACUAUUUUCACUAUCUACCAAACCUGUAAACCUUUCUCUAAGAAGAGAGACAAGAACAUUCAUUGGGCAUGACUUAUUCUUGAUCAACCCAUGCUGGCUCCUGGAAAUAAAUGCAUCAUUUUCUAUAUGCUAAAAAAAACCCUUAAUUUGUUUGUAUUCAGUGAUGGAAGCAGGCAGGCAAAUAGCAGUGGGUACUGAAACCGUUGCAGCCAGGAGAAACAAAUGGUAACCAACAGGAUAGAGGAAUUUUUAAGAAAGUAUUGUCCUAAAGAUUGAAGUGAGUGAAUUACUUGGUACAACCUGUUACAUCUAUAAAUGAUCCAGUUACUAAUACUGGAUCCAGGGUAGGAUUAUGAAAGGUCAUACUCCAUCCUGGACUGCAUGGAAGUUUUGCUUUGCUAAAGAGCCAUAGGUGCAACAUCUGGAACCGACGGUCAGAAUGCACAAGGCAUCCUCACUCAUAAAAGGGUUGCUCUUGACAUUCUGUGACCAUGGCAUGCAGGAAAAAAAGUGAAUAUGCAUUAAGCAUCAGUGAAAUGGCUUGCAGCAGGGAGCUUCUCAGCAGUAUGAGACACACUGAGCCUCAGGAGUUACAUGCCUCAUCCCAGGACAUUUAAGAGUGAUGAAGAGGAAUCAAAUGAAGCACCUUGUGAUGAUGGCCCAAGUAUAAAGCUUUGCCCUUGGCACUCUCUUCCAGUCACAUGUUGAAAGCAAGGGUGCCCAAGACAUAGGAGGAGGCAACAGCUCUGUCCACAGAAUGGUAAAGUCAGAUUGCACAAUUGACCCUUGGCUCUACUUAUAAGAGCACCUCUCCCAAUAUCAACCACCUCACAUCCUUCAACUGGUAAGUGAGGCCUUGUUGGUGGUGCUACCACUGGGGGCUGCCCAGUUUGCACUGACCUGUGAAAGGCCUCUUCAGUGGUGGUUUCCUGCUUGUCAGAUGUCCUGCUUGUCAGAUGUCUGUCUCCUUCAUUACCGACUUGCAGGAAGAAUUAGAAAACAUUCCUGUUUACCCAGGCAUUUGAUGGCUGAAAAGAUACUUUUCCCGAAAAACCCUGAAAUCACUGGCUGAGAGAAUGCAAUUAUCUGUAAACUGUUUAAAGACUGUUUUUAAUGAUAAUUGUUUUAAUGUGUUUGAUGCCCUAGAUUCCUUUGGAAGGAUGGGUGGGAUUUAAAUAGGAUACAUAAUAAAGUGGGGGGCAUCUUAUCGCAUUAAGAUUUUGGUAUAUGCCAUUCUUAAACUUUGUAGUUCAUUGUGGAAAAACUGGCUUAAUGCAUCAGUGCUGUCCCUGAUUACUCCUCAGAAGAGCAGGUUCCUGCUACAGUGCAUCAUAGCAAAAGUAGACAAAAAGCUGUCCAAAGUAGGUCAAAAUGAGUCCUAAUGAAAGUUGUUAAAUGUUUAUGGACAACUUGCAACACCUCACCUCAUUCACUCUUGUUGCUAUUCAUGACUUUACCUCAAUUUUGUUUAUAUGUUUAUGGUACUCUCAUAAUGCAUCUCGUAUGAUGGGCAAGUCACAAGAAGAGAGGGAUAUGCCAGCUCUCAUUUAACAGUGUCAUUCUGUACCUCUGUCUACUUCUCACUGUAGGUGCAAAUUGGCCGUAUGUUAUGGCUGCAGCCCUUGUAAAGACAGAGAUAAGAAAUAAUAUUUAUUGGAGAUUUCUGUGUAUCCUAACAUCUCAAUUCCCAGAGAGCCCUGGGUUGGUGAUGAAAAAAUAUGAAAAGGAGGGGAAAUCCUUAAAGAAAACAAAUGUUUUUGUAUGUGUCUUAGAUAGUUUCUAAAGAAGGGAAGGUUCUUCUGAAACCUAUUGGGCAUUUUAUACAACCCCUUUCUCAUCUGUUUUAUUGAUAUGAAAAUAUGGAAUAUUGAGGCUUUAAAGCAGAGGUUGAAUGGCCAUCUGUCAUACAUGAUCUAGUUGAGAUUCUUGCGUUGCAGGGGGUUGGACUAGAUGAUCCUCGGGAUCCCUUCCAACUCUACAAUUCUAUGAGUCUUUGAUUCAUGCCAGUGUGGUUAGUGAUGGCCUAGGACUGAAAAGCCUGGGUUCAAAUCCUUGUUUAGUCAUGAAGUGCUGUGGGUGGUAUUAAGCCAGUCACUCCUCUCAGCCAAACCUAUCCCAUAAAGUUGUUGUGAAGAUAAAAAUGGAGAUGAAACCAUAUAUGCUACCUUGACCUUCUUGGAGGAAUGGCAGGGUAUAAAUUUAAUCUAAUUAAUAAAAAGAAAACCCAAAGGGACAAGAUAUACUCUCAAGUUCUCUGUUUUCUGUUAUGCAGAAGACUACCAAAAACUACUAAAAUCAGAAUGAUGGUUUUAUGGUUUUGACAUAUGAGAGUUGUAUCCAAUGUUGUGAGUAGACCCUCUGAAAUUAAUGAACAUUGUGAACUUGAAUUCAUUAAUUUCAAUAGAUCUGUUCAGAGUAACGUUUAGUUGGCAGCAACCCAUAUACUGCCAUUCAGCAAAAUCAACUGGAUGAAAUAUAGCUAUAAUACCAAACACAGAAAAUAUAUUUCUUCACUUGAAAAUCAACUCCCCCUGCACAAAGUUUCGGAUUGGUCUCAUUUUUUUACAAGCUGCUAUUAAAUUCUACUCCCUGCUUGAUAAACAUAGCAACAGAUCCAUUAUUGAUAGGAAGCUCGGAAACAGGAUUUUCUUUAUAUACAAGAACAAUAUAUUUACAACAAUCAGCUGCAAAAUAUGUACAUACAAGAGGUGUCUCCAUGGUAAUCACUGUAUAAAUUAAAAUAAUAAAUAGCACAUUCUAUUCUUAAGGCACGAAACCUUCUUCCCAAGACUGUACAGGAUUGAAAUGCCUCCCUAUGCUUUUGACAGAUCACCGGAAUGGUUACAACACCCCUGAGGGAACAGUCAUCAGUGGACAACAAUACAGACAUCAAAUGACUUAUAAAAACAUUUUUCUUUCUUUUCUUCUUUUUUUUUUACAUCACAAAUAUCUGUUAAGAUACAAGGAGUUUUGUGUAAACAGUAUUUAAUUUACCACACAUACUAUAUUCACCUUUAAAUAAUACUCAAAAAAACAAUUUUAAUAUGAUAUAGGUGGUCAGAGCUUUUCUUUUCAAGAGAUACUGGCACUAAGUGCCUCUUUACAGUUCCUAUCAGAGAUGCAAAAUCUAGUGGAAUUAAUAUGUCUUGAGUGUCCACAGACUGAAAAUGUGAAUAUAUCCCACUAAGAUUAAACAGAAUAAAUAACUUUGGCUACAAUCAUCCUAUGCACAUUUACUUGGAAGAACCAUCCGAUUGAGCAGGACUUAUUUCUGGAGUAAAUAUGCAUAGGAUUGUACUGGACAUAAGUCUAGUGUUUAAUAGCUGCACUGAGCUAAAGAUGGAUAUUUUGGGCACUAAAAAGUAAUGUCAGCUUUAAAAAAAACACACUGAACCAUGCUAUUAAGAUACAAUCCCUUUUUUCCAAAGGAGUUCAGGAUUAGCACUUUCUUGGAUAA